CCUCGGAUCAGGUAGGAAUACCCGCUGAACUUAAGCAUAUCAAUAAGCCGGAGGA
rnacentral:rRNA from 1 species